AUUGAACGCUGGCGGCAUGCCUUACACAUGCAAGUCGAACGGCAGCACGGGAGCAAUCCUGGUGGCGAGUGGCGAACGGGUGAGUAAUAUAUCGGAACGUGCCCAGUCGUGGGGGAUAACGUAGCGAAAGCUACGCUAAUACCGCAUACGAUCUAUGGAUGAAAGCGGGGGAUCGCAAGACCUCGCGCGAUUGGAGCGGCCGAUAUCAGAUUAGGUAGUUGGUGAGGUAAAGGCUCACCAAGCCGACGAUCUGUAGCUGGUCUGAGAGGACGACCAGCCACACUGGGAGUGAGACACGGCCCAGACUCCUACGGGAGGCAGCAGUGGGGGAUUUUGGACAAUGGGCGCAAGCCUGAUCCAGCAAUGCCGCGUGCAGGAUGAAGGCCUUCGGGUUGUAAACUGCUUUUGUACGGAACGAAACGGCGAGCUCUAAUACAGUUUGCUAAUGACGGUACCGUAAGAAUAAGCACCGGCUAACUACGUGCCAGCCGCCGCGGUAA
rnacentral:rRNA from 1 species